UACGUAGGGGGCAAGCGUUGUCCGGAAUCAUUGGGCGUAAAGAGCGUGUAGGCGGUCCGGUAAGUCGGCUGUGAAAGUCCAGGGCUCAACCCUGGGAUGCCGGUCGAUACUGCCGGACUAGAGUUCGGAAGAGGCGAGUGGAAUUCCCGGUGUAGCGGUGAAAUGCGCAGAUAUCGGGAGGAACACCUAUGGCGAAGGCAGCUCGCUGGGACGUUACUGGCGCUGAGACGCGAAAGCGUGGGGAGCAAACAGG
rnacentral:rRNA from 1 species